rnacentral:rRNA from 1 species
CCCUUUGAUGUUCUGGGCCGCACGCGCGCUACACUGAUGCAUUCAACGAGCCUAUCCUUGACCGACAGGUCCGGGUAAUCUUUGAAUCUGCAUCGUGACGGGGAUAGAUUAUUGCAAUUAUUAAUCUUCAACGAGGAAUGCCUAGUAGGCGCAAGUCAUCAGCUUGCGUCGAUUACGUCCCUGCCCUUUGUACACACCGCCCGUCGCUCCUACCGAUUGGGUGUGCUGGUGAAAUGUUCGGAUCGGCCGUUUGUCGCGGUUUCCGCGGCUCGUGGCUGAGAAGUUCAUUAAACCCUCCCACCUAGAGGAAGGAGAAGUCGUAACA